UACAGAGGUCUCAAGCGUUGUUCGGAUUCAUUGGGCGUAAAGGGUGCGUAGGCGGCGCGGUAAGUCGGGUGUGAAAUCUCGGGGCUUAACUCCGAAACUGCAUUCGAUACUGCCGUGCUUGAGGACUGGAGAGGAGACUGGAAUUUACGGUGUAGCGGUGAAAUGCGUAGAUAUCGUAAGGAAGACCAGUGGCGAAGGCGGGUCUCUGGGCCACUACUGACGCUGAGAAGCGAAAGCAUGGGGAGCGAACAGG
rnacentral:rRNA from 1 species